CAGUAGCCGCGGUAAUACGUAGGGUGCAAGCGUUAAUCGGAAUUACUGGGCGUAAAGCGUGCGCAGGCGGUUCGUUAAGACAGGUGUGAAAUCCCCGGGCUUAACCUGGGAACUGCAUUUGUGACUGGCGGGCUAGAGUAUGGCAGAGGGGGGUAGAAUUCCACGUGUAGCAGUGAAAUGCGUAGGGACGUGGAGGAAUACCGAUGGCGAAGGCAGCCCCCUGGGCCAAUACUGACGCUCAUGCACGAAAGCGUGGGGAGCAAACAGGAUUAGAUACCCCUGUAGUCCCUGUCUCUUAUAC
rnacentral:rRNA from 1 species